rnacentral:rRNA from 1 species
UACAGAGGGGGCGAGCGUUGUUCGGAAUUACUGGGCGUAAAGGGCGCGUAGGCGGCCUGCUAAGUCGGACGUGAAAUCCCUCGGCUCAACCGGGGAACUGCGUCCGAUACUGGUUGGCUUGAAUUCGGGAGAGGGAUGCGGAAUUCCAGGUGUAGCGGUGAAAUGCGUAGAUAUCUGGAGGAACACCGGUGGCGAAGGCGGCAUCCUGGACCGAGAUUGACGCUGAUGCGCGAAAGCCAGGGGAGCAAACAGG